rnacentral:hammerhead_ribozyme from 1 species
GCACUGCUGACGAGUCCCAAACAACACGAAACAGCUGUCCAGUGC